rnacentral:rRNA from 1 species
GUGAGGAAUAUUGGUCAAUGGACGAGAGUCUGAACCAGCCAAGUCGCGUGAAGGAAGACGGUUCUAUGAAUUGUAAACUUCUUUUGUGCAGGAAUAAAGUGGGUUACGUGUAACCUUUUGUAUGUACUGUACGAAUAAGGAUCGGCUAACUCCGUGCCAGCAGCCGCGGUAAUACGGAGGAUCCGAGCGUUAUCCGGAUUUAUUGGGUUUAAAGGGUGCGUAGGUGGAUUGAUAAGUCAGCGGUGAAAGUUUGCAGCUUAACUGUAAAAUUGCCGUUGAAACUGUCGGUCUUGAGUGCAAAUGAGGUAGGCGGAAUGUGUUGUGUAGCGGUGAAAUGCUUAGAUAUAACACAGAACUCCGAUUGCGAAGGCAGCUUACUGGGAUGCAACUGACACUGAUGCACGAAAGCGUGGGUAUCAAACAGGAUUAGAUACCCGAGUAGUCC